UGUAUUGAUGAAACUGCAAAAGAAGAGGAUCCCUACUCAAACACAGGGCAGAAAAAUCAAAACUGAAGUCUCAGUCACCCCAGAUAGGAGCUAGGGGAUGCUUAGAUUUAAAUAAGAAAGUUGGUAGGAAGGAAGAGGAAGGAAGAUAAUUGGUAGAACACUAAUAUCAACGCACGAAAUGUGCAGGAAACUGGAGUUGUUCCCAUUGCUGGAGGUCUGUUGCUGUCCAGGAUGCUCCCCUGGACACUUUUUAAAAAAAAAAACUCCUUUUGGGGGAGCGGCCAGCUGGGAAUGGUCUGGGACAAGAUGAGAAGGCUGAGCAGAGCUGUGGAGUUACUGGGAUGUGAUGAGCAAAAGGCCACCUGGGCAGAAAAACACCAUCAGGUGUUAAGCCUUGCUUCACCCACUCUGUGAUCACAUACAAAUCACUCUCAGCAGCCACUUCACCCCAUCUCCUGCUUCAGUGGAAGGAAACGUAUGGCUACAUGUACUUUCACACCCACACCUUUACUGUCUGCACAGGAUUUCCAAAAGUAGCUUUCCAGACAGUGCUAAAUUCUGCUCCAAGCUCCCCAGGCAGCAUUACAUGUCUUUUUGAGCCCUGGCCCUUGGACCUGCCUUGUAGCCCUGUCUCCAGACCCUUCUGCUCCAGACUGGGCUCGCUGAAUGGACCCAGGUUCCUGCUGGCUGUGCUGAGACCCUAGGGGACUGUGCCCUGUUGGUGAGGACAUGGCCAGUGCUGGGAUCCCCUUGGCUCCUGGCUCAUCCCCUUCUUGUCCUGCUUUCUGAACCGCACUGGUGAGAUGAGAGCACAAAGACAACAGUUACACUAAAUGCCUGCGGGAAGGGUCACAAAGCAUCUCUGCUGGGUCUGACUGGGGAACAGGCAGGAAGCAAGCGCUGAAUGUGGACUGGACCCAUGGUCACACAUGGCAGAAGAUGUGGAAGUCCUUCAAUGAGCUGCAGUCAGAUGGGGACACCUCUGCCCUCUGAGGCUGAGAGGAGUCUAGGUCAUUGCCUCUGGUGGAAGCACUACCUUGCUCUUGCAGUCUUGCAUGUGUCAUGUAUUUUCAAGGCACUGAGGCAUAACUUUAGGGGAGAGGCAGCACUUCAGAAUCUGCAGCUUUCCCAUAGGAGAAAAAUACCAUUUAAAUACCAACCCACAACAAUUGUUCAGAUAUCCAGUUAUUAUGCAGCAAUUGAAAAACAAACAAACAAA